rnacentral:rRNA from 1 species
GACGAACGCUGGCGGCGUGCCUAACACAUGCAAGUCGAACGGGACCGGGGGCAACUCCGGUUCAGUGGCGGACGGGUGCGUAACACGUGAGGAACAUGACCUUCGGCGGGGGAGUAGCCGGCCCGAACGGCCGGGUAAUACCGCGUACGACCCUUCGGGGACGAUCCCCGAUUGGUGAAAGCAGCAAUGCGCCGAUGGAGUGCCUCGCGGCCUAUCAGCUAGUUGGUGGGGUAACGGCUCACCAAGGCAACGACGGGAGCUGGUCUGAGAGGAUGGCCAGCCACAUUGGGACUGAGACACGGCCCAGACUCCUACGGGAGGCAGCAGUGGGGAAGUAUUGCGCAAUGGACGAAGUCUGACGCAGCGACGCCGCGUGU